GGGGAGGUGCCGGAGUGGCCGAACGGGGGCGCCUGCUAAGCGCUUGUAGGGGCUUUAAAACCUCUACCGAGGGUUCGAAUCCCUCCCUCCCCGCCA
rnacentral:tRNA from 1 species